AGGGCCGUCACUAGGUUUGAAGAACAAGGGGGCUUUGCAGAUGGAGAAGAUGUCCAAUGUUCAUCGCUCUGAGAACUACUUUGACAACAAAGACAGCGAACUCACCGCCGCCACCCUGAGGCCGAGUGACAGCAGCCAAGGCAGUAGCAACAGAUGCCAGAACAGUCCAUCAGAACAGAAGCAACAGAUGCCAGAACAGUCCAUCAGAACAGAGGCAACAGAUGCCAGAACAGUCCAUCAGAUCAGAACAGAAGCAACAGAUGCCAGAACAGUCCAUCAGAACAGAAGCAACAGAUGCCAGAACAGUCCAUCAGAACAGAAGCAACAGAUGCCAGAACAGUCCAUCAGAACAGAAGCAACAGAUGCCAGAACAGUCCAUCAGAACAGAAGCAACAGAUGCCAGAACAGUGCAUCAGAACAGAAGCAACAGAUGCCAGAACAGUCCAUCAGAACAAAAGCAACAGAUGCCAGAACAGUCCAUCAGAACAGAAGCAACAGAUGCCAGAACAGUCCAUCAGAACCAAAGCAACAGAUGCCAGAACAGUCCAUCAGAACAGAAGCAACAGAUGCCAGAACAGUCCAUCAGAACAGAAGCAACAGAUGCCAGAACAGUCCAUCAGAACAGAAGCAAUAGAUGCCAGAACAGUCCAUCAGAACAGAAGCAACAGAUGCCAGAACAGUCCAUCAGCAAUGAGUCUGACAGUCUCCGACACCACAUGUCUGCUGUGCGUGGAGAACAGGAAGUGGACGAGCGGGGGCUUUUUCUGCACCGCACGUUGUGACACCUCCACAGGAAGUGGCGUCUAAAGUGAAAACAACGCCUGGCUGAAAAGAGCAUUUGGAGAGCGAUCUGACGCUCGCGGACACGCUCGUGUUGGCUCGUGUUUCCUCAAUUCUACUGAAGGAGGAAGCGCCUUUGAGAAGGCCGGAGGAGAAGGAAG